rnacentral:rRNA from 1 species
AGUGAACGCUGGCGGUAGGCCUAACACAUGCAAGUCGAACGGCAGCACAGUAAGAGCUUGCUCUUACGGGUGGCGAGUGGCGGACGGGUGAGGAAUACAUCGGAAUCUACUUUUUCGUGGGGGAUAACGUAGGGAAACUUACGCUAAUACCGCAUACGACCUACGGGUGAAAGCAGGGGAUCUUCGGACCUUGCGCGAUUGGAUGAGCCGAUGUCGGAUUAGCUAGUUGGCGGGGUAAAGGCCCACCAAGGCGACGAUCCGUAGCUGGUCUGAGAGGAUGAUCAGCCACACUGGAACUGAGACACGGUCCAGACUCCUACGGGAGGCAGAAGUGGGGAAUAUUGGACAAUGGGCGCAAGCCUGAUCCAGCCAUACCGCGUGGGUGAAGAAGGCCUUCGGGUUGUAAAGCCCUUUUGUUGGGAAAGAAAAGCAGCAGGUUAAUACCCCGCUGUUCUGACGGUACCCAAAGAAUAAGCACCGGCUAACUUCGUG